rnacentral:rRNA from 1 species
GCCUGGUAGUGGGGGAUAACUCGGGGAAACUCGAGCUAAUACCGCAUACGUCCUACGGGAGAAAGUGGGGGAUCUUCGGACCUCACGCUAUCAGAUGAGCCUAGGUCGGAUUAGCUAGUUGGUGAGGUAAAGGCUCACCAAGGCGACGAUCCGUAACUGGUCUGAGAGGAUGAUCAGUCACACUGGAACUGAGACACGGUCCAGACUCCUACGGGAGGCAGCAGUGGGGAAUAUUGGACAAUGGGCGAAAGCCUGAUCCAGCCAUGCCGCGUGUGUGAAGAAGGUCUUCGGAUUGUAAAGCACUUUAAGUUGGGAGGAAGGGCAGUAAGUUAAUACCUUGCUGUUUUGACGUUACCAACAGAAUAAGCACCGGCUAACUUCGUGCCAGCAGCCGCGGUAAUACGAAGGGUGCAAGCGUUAAUCGGAAUUACUGGGCGUAAAGCGCGCGUAGGUGGUUCAGC